CUCGGUCCUGAUCCAAUCAUUGGGUCCUUGUCCUUGGGGGCGACGAGGGAUUUCUGUUUCAAGAGCAAAAGAGAAUGGAGUGGGACGAGGAAAAUGGGCCACGGCCCUGGGCCCUGGAAGGGA
rnacentral:SRP_RNA from 1 species